UGUGGAUAGUUGUAUAAGGCAUAUAAAAUUUUGGAUUUUAAGGGUUAAGUUUAAUUCUUAAAUCCACAA
rnacentral:tRNA from 1 species